CCAUCUUUAUUUACGUCUCUGUUGAAGGAGAAUUCUGCUGAGGACUGUCUCAACUAUCUUUAGAGAACUAAACAGAUCACCAUGUUUCCUACCACAGGAGUAUUCUUACUGACAGUCUAUCUAACAGGUGUUUAUGGUCAGACACUGACUGAGUCUGGACCAAUGGUUAAAAAGCCUGGAGAAUCACACAAACUGACCUGUACAGCCUCUGGGUUCACAUUCAGUGACCAUAGGAUGGCUUGGAUCAGACAGGCUCCUGGGAAAGGACUAGAGUGGAUUGCUUAUAUCAGCACAGCUAGUACACCCAUCUAUUACUCUCAGACAGUCCAGGGUAGAUUCACCAUCUCCAGAGAUGACUCCAGCAGUAAGAUGUACCUACAGAUGAACAGCCUGAAGAGUGAGGACACAGCAGUGUAUUACUGUGCCCGGUACACACAGUGAGAGAGAGUGGUGGGAGAGCUGUACAAAAACCACUUCCCCAUGGAACACAGACAAUCUCAUUUAUUUCUGAUGAAUGGUUUAAUAGCACCAGCUCAGCCAAACAAAACACACAUAGUGUAGAUAAUGUAUACAAUUAAUAAUAAUAAUGAUUAGGUGGGUGCUUAUAUUUGUCCUAUUUCACACAUGUUCAAGUGUGUAUUAUACACAUGUGUGAAUUGUAAAUGUAUUGUCUUGCAUAUCCCACUCCCCCGAGACACCCUCAGAGAGUGGAGUCAUAGUCAGCAUU